CGCGUACGGUCCAGCUGACCAUACAUGUUUUGGGAUCAUAUGGGUUAAAUGUUAACAAACAUUUAUCAAAAUCUUUAUUUUUAGUUAUACAAAUUGUUAUUAUUAAAAUUAGAUGGAUAAAGUGAAUAAGCGAACAAUUAAAAUUAAAUAUUUGUUUAAUUUUAUAUCCGUGAAUCCUAUUUUGUUACUCUGGCCCAAGAUGACACUUGCUUCCACAAGGAACGUCAUAUAUUUUUUAACAUUAACAUGUUUUGUUCAUGCAUGUUCCUUUGCAUAUGCAUUUUUUGUAAAGUUCCUAAAUAUUCUAAAACAAUUGUCCUCCCACAUUAUGUUUACUUCCGAUGACUUCAAUUUCAAUGAGCAUACUGGGCUGUAAUUAAUGAAUUACUGACAUGCUAAGUACAGGAGAUUAACAGAUUAAAUAAGCC
rnacentral:lncRNA from 1 species